ACUCUGUGCUCAGCUGCUCGGCACAGCCCCGCCUGGCACGCAGCUCCAACAGCGGGUCCUGGAGUAGUCGGUCCCACCCACCCGGUGCGGCGGCCCCUCGGGUUUCAGUCCAAGGGAAAGGACCAGCGCUCCAGAAAGUCCCAGUGACAAAGAAAGACCCUGCCUCAAGAAGAAUAAGGAAGAAGAAGGAAGAGAAGAAGGAAGAGAAGAAGAAGGAGAAGAAGGAGGAGGAGGAGGACAAGGAGAAGAAGAAGGAGGAGGAGGAGGAGGAAGAGGAAGAGGAGAGGAAGAGGACACUUUAAUGUUCAGAUGGGGAAGAAAAAACCUGACUGAGUGAGGUUUGGUGUCCUGUUUCUUAUAGAACAAUUACCUCAUCUUUCCCUCCAUAUUCAUCCUGUGAAGACACUAUGCUUUCUCUAAUAUUCGUAUUUCUCAGGUACCCUGGUACCAUGUUGAAGAGAACUCCAAAACGAUAGAGUUUAUCACCUCAGAGUCCUGCCUGGAACAACAAUCACUGAUUAACUUUGAGUUCUGUUACAGACCCUGUGUAGUGAGCACCAGGAAAUGUCUAAGAAAUGAAUAAAUGAAUGCAUGCAAGCUCGGAGGUCUUGACAAUAACCUACUUCGAGUUUGAAAAUGCAGCACCGGAAUGUUUGCAUUCGACUUACCAGAAGCUUCUCCCUCACCUCUUGGCUGUGAACCUCCAUAGCGCCCUCCCACAGCAUGUCAAAGGUGUUGUUGGAUCAGCAGUCCCCCUAUUCUGGAACAUUUUAUCUUUCUACUUCAUUUGUGUUGUUUGUGUUGGAGGUACCCCGAUCUUACAGAGCUAUUUCUCUGACUUUAGAUGAUGGGCACCCAACAUAAGGUGAGCCAAUUUCUAAACCUGAGACCAGAAUGCAUGUGAGUCAGUUUUUCUCCAGGCAUGGGAAGACAAGUUUUCUGCUACAUGGAGUAAGCCAGACCAUAGAGUAUGAUGUAGAGACCAAAGAACCAAGGAAAGAUAGAGAUAGAGUAGGUAUCCUGACACCAUUUCUAAACCCCUUGUUCCAAUUUUUUAAAAGCCAACGGAGCUCUGCAUAUUUCCUGUUGGGUGAUUCAGCUGUCAAGUGCCCCAAGAUGCUUUCACUAAGUUCUUUAUUCAUUGGCGUUAUGGUCUUAACAAUACCACUGGCUUUUGUCAAUUUGAUGUAGGUUUCUGUCGGUGGGGAAAAAUAAGUCCAAAAUCACACAAUCCAAAUGUACCAGAGAAGCAUGUGGCUGAGUAGACAGUGAUUUGUGGUUAUGACUAAGUCUCUAUUCUAGACACCAUCAUUUCCUCAACUCUGUCACGAAAGAAGCCUAGAAUGUUUGCUUGGGAAUGCAAAUAUUCUUUAAACCGAGAGACAGGUUAUGGUUGUACCAGAAAAGGCAGAGGGAGGCUUUUUACUUUUCAUGUAUAAACUAGAAUAGGUAGUAAAAAUCAUUUUACUGAAUGAACUCUGGCUUUUUUCCUUCAUUUUUCCAAUUCCAUAAAAUCUACAUAGUUCUAAGUUUUGUUGUGAAGAUUAAAUAAUACAAUGAAUGUGAAAUACGUAGCAUAAUUCUUGACAUGGAGUAAUAAAUAUAGCUCUUCUAAUUAUUCCUUUUCUUGUAAAAAUCAUGCCACAGUCUUCUAAUUUUUAAAUCAUUUCUUGUUUCAAAAGUGAAUGUCUUAGAUAAAGCAGAGAUUUACUGUGCCCCCAUCACUCUUGUUAUUUAGGGUUCUAUUAUCAUUUGCUGAAUCACUAAAUCUCCAGUGAUUUGCAUGCUUGGUUUGGUUAAUAAAUAGUAAAA
ensembl:lncRNA